rnacentral:misc_RNA from 1 species
AAGUCGUAACAAGGUUUCCGUAGGUGAACCUGCGGAAGGAUCAUUAUCGAUUAAAAACGGGGGCGCUCGCGUCCCGUCAGUACCCUUUGCUUAUGUGUACCCUUUGUUGCUUCCUCGGUGGGGACGCCCGCCGGUGGAUAGCCCUUUUAAACCCUUUUGCAGUUGCAAUCAACUUCUGAUAUGAUAUAAAUUUAGUCACAACUUUCAACAACGGAUCUCUUGGUUCUG